GGGAGCGAAUAGGGCCUAGUGGUUCUUCGAUCUUCAAAUCCAUUUGAGCGGCGCAACCCGGUGCUAGUGGGUUCAAUUCCUACACACUCCCGCCA
rnacentral:tRNA from 1 species